AAAUCUGCAACAACACCAUUGGCAGCUAUAGCUGCAGCUGCGAGUCUGGAUACACAAUCAACAGUACCAAUGCAUUCCUUUGCGACGACAUUGAUGAAUGUGCAACAAAUGCUUCAUCCUGCCAACAAAUCUGCAAAAACACCAAUGGCAGCUUUAGCUGCAGCUGCGAAUCUGGCUACACAAUCAACAGCACCAAUGCAUUCCUUUGUGAUGACAUUGAUGAAUGUGCAACAAAUGCAUCAUCCUGCCAACAAAUCUGCAACAACAACAUUGGCAGCUAUAGCUGCA